CUCUGAUUCAGAGGUGUGUACAGCAUGUUACAUUAGGAUGUAUGUGCACUCGGGAAAAAUUAUUUUGUAUUAUAAAAAGUGAACAUUCAUUGAAUACAGGCAUACCCCACUUUUAAGUACACAAUGGGACCAGAGCAUGUAUGUAAAACGAAAAUGUACUUAAAGUGAAGCAAUACCUUUUUUCACUUCCCAAUGCAUGCAGUGGCGGAUCCAGAGCCUGAUCUUGGAAGGGGCACUUGUACAUUAUUUAAAGAAAUAAUCCAGACACAAUAACCACUACAGCUCAGUGUAGUGGUUAUGGUGUCAAUAGUGCCAG